rnacentral:piRNA from 1 species
UGUGAUGAGCAUUUGGGUGAUUUUAGUCCCC